AGUCGACGAGGACGGAACAGGCAGCCGUCACACCCCAGGGUUUCCCAGUGGUUUUAAAGAGAUGCGGGCAGGUCAUCCCGCCGUGGCU
rnacentral:ncRNA from 1 species